CCUACGGGAGGCAGCAGUGAGGAAUAUUGGUCAAUGGACGAGAGUCUGAACCAGCCAAGUAGCGUGAAGGAUGAAGGCCCUAUGGGUUGUAAACUUCAUUUAUAGGGGAAUAAAAUGUGACACGAGUGGGAUAUUGUAUGUACCAUAUGAAUAAGGAUCGGCUAACUCCGUGCCAGCAGCCGCGGUAAUACGGAGGAUCCGAGCGUUAUCCGGAGUUAUUGGGUUUAAAGGGAGCGUAGGUGGAUUGUUAAGUCAGUUGUGCAAGUUUGCGGCUCAACCGUAAAAUUGCAGUUGAAACUGGCAGUCUUGAGUACAGUAGAGGUGGGCGGCAUUCGUGGUGUAGCGG
rnacentral:rRNA from 1 species